GGAUCAAUGGGAACAUGCAGAGAUUAUUGCUGGAGCCCAAUCCCUUCCCCCCAGUGUCUCCACACACAGAGCAGGAACCCCUAAUUCCAGGAUCAAUGGGAACAUGCAGAGAUUAUUGCUGGAGCCCAGUCCCUUCCCCCCAGUGUCUGCACACACAGAGAGCAGGAAUCCCUAAUUCCAGGAUCAAUGGGAACAUGCUGGGAUUAUUGCUGGAGCCCAAUCCCUUCCCCCCAGUGUCUGCACACACAGAGAGCAGGAAUCCCUAAUUCCAGGAUCAAUGGGAACAUGCAGAGAUUAUUGCUGGAGCACAAUCCCUUCCCCCCAGUUUCUGCACAAACAGAGAGCAGGAAGCCCUAAUUCCAGGAUCAAUGGGAACAUGCAGAGAUUAUUGCUGGAGCCCAAUCCCUUCCCCCCAGUGUCUGCACACACAGAGAGCAGGAAGCCCUAAUUCCAGGAUCAAUGGGAACAUGCAGAGAUUAUUGCUGGAGCCCAAUCCCUUCCCCCCAGUUUCUGCACACACAGAGAGCAGGAAGCCCUAAUUCCAGGAUCAAUGGGAACAUGCAGAGAUUAUUGCUGGAGCCCAAUCCCUUCCCCCCAGUGUCUGCACACACAGAGAGCAGGAAUCCCUAAUUCCAGGAACAAUGGGAACAUGCAGAGAUUAUUGCUGGAGCCCAAUCCCUUCCCCCCAGUGUCUGCACACCCAGAGAGCAGGAAUCCCUAAUUUCAGGAUCAAUGGGAACAUGCAGAGAUUAUUGCUGGAGCCCAAUCCCUUCCCCCCAGUGUCUGCACACACAGAGAGCAGGAAUCCCUAAUGCCAGGAUCAAUGGGAACAUGCAGAGAUUAUUGCUGGAGCCCAAUCCCUUCCCCCCAGUGUC